rnacentral:rRNA from 1 species
CGGACGGGUGAGUAAUGUCUGGGAAACUGCCUGAUGGUGGGGGAUAACUACUGGAAACGGUAGCUAAUACCGCAUAACGUCGCAAGACCAAAGAGGGGGACCUUCGGGCCUCUUGCCAUCGGAUGUGCCCAGAUGGGAUUAGCUAGUAGGUGGGGUAAAGGCUCACCUAGGCGACGAUCCCUAGCUGGUCUGAGAGGAUGACCAGCCACACUGGAACUGAGACACGGUCCAG